GACGAACGCUGGCGGCGUGCCUAAUACAUGCAAGUUGAGCGCGGAAGGCUGGUCCUUGUACCAACUGGUUGAGCAGCGAACGGGUGAGUAACGCGUGGGAAAUCUGCCUUUGAGCGGGGGACAACAUUUGGAAACGAUUGCUAAUACCCCAUAAAAACUUUAAACACAAUUUUCAAGUUUUAAAUAUGCAAUUGCAUAACUUAAAAACGUUCCCGCGUGGUAUUCGCUAGUUGGUGAGGGAAAGGCUCACCGAGGCGAUGUAAUAUAGCCGACCUGCAAGGGUAAUCUGCCAAGUUGGGACUGGAGCACGGCCCAAAACCCUGGGGGUGGCAGCAGUAGGGAAUCUUCGGCGAAGGCAGAAAGUCUGAACAAGCAACGCCGCGCGAGAGCAGGAGGCUGUCAGAUCGUAAAACUCUGUUGGUAGAGAAGAACGUUGGUGAGAGUGGAAAGCUCAUAAAGUGACGGUAACUGCAGAGAAAGGGACGGCUAACUACGUG
rnacentral:rRNA from 1 species